rnacentral:rRNA from 1 species
AGCGGCAAAAGCUCAAAUUUGAAAUCUGGCGUCUUCGACGUCCGAGUUGUAAUUUGAAGAAGGCGACUUUGUAGCUGGUCCUUGUCUAUGUUCCUUGGAACAGGACGUCAUAGAGGGUGAGAAUCCCGUGUGGCGAGGAUCCCAGUUAUUUGUAAAGUGCUUUCGACGAGUCGAGUUGUUUGGGAAUGCAGCUCUAAGUGGGUGGUAAAUUCCAUCUAAAGCUAAAUAUUGGCGAGAGACCGAUAGCGAACAAGUACAGUGAUGGAAAGAUGAAAAGAACUUUGAAAAGAGAGUGAAAAAGUACGUGAAAUUGUUGAAAGGGAAGGGCAUUUGAUCAGACAUGGCGUUUGCUUCGGCUUUCGCUGGGCCAGCAUCAGUUUUAGCGGUUGGAUAAAUCCUCGGGAAUGUGGCUCUGCUUCGGUAGAGUGUUAUAGCCCGUGGGAAUACAGCCAGCUGGGACUGAGGAUUGCGACU